UUCAGAUUGCAGAAUUGAAGUCUGGAAUCCUCCCACGUGCUUGAAGGGAACUGAGACUCAAAAUGCCAAGCUUGGUCCUCAUCCCCUGUGAAAUCAAUGAGGCCUGUGCAACAGGAAGAAUGUGCCGUCGCAUUUAUAAUGCGGCAAAGUUUGCAAAAACAGGCGAGAACCAGUGCAAUAGAUUGGAAUGUUCACCUGGAGAGGUAAAUGGAAAGCCCCACUGGAAUGUCAGAUACAUUAGCCUCAUAGUAUGCAACUGAAAGAGUUACUGGAUAAGAAA